CCUACGGGAGGCAGCAGUGAGGAAUAUUGGACAAUGGGCGCAAGCCUGAUCCAGCCAUGCCGCGUGCAGGAAGAAGCAUCUAUGGUGUGUAAACUGCUUUUGUACAGGAAGAAACACUCCCUCGUGAGGGAGCUUGACGGUACUGUAAGAAUAAGGACCGGCUAACUCCGUGCCAGCAGCCGCGGUAAUACGGAGGGUCCGAGCGUUAUCCGGAAUCAUUGGGUUUAAAGGGUCCGUAGGCGGUUUAAUAAGUCAGUGGUGAAAUCUGGUCGCUCAACGAUCAAACGGCCAUUGAUACUGUUAGACUUGAAUUAUAAGGAAGUAACUAGAAUAUGUAGUGUAGCGGUGAAAUGCUUAGAUAUUACAUGGAAUACCAAUUGCGAAGGCAGGUUACUACUUAUGGAUUGACGCUGAUGGACGAAAGCGUGGGGAGCGAACAGGAUUAGAUACCCUGGUAGUCCACGCCGUAAACGAUGGAUACUAGCUGUUCGGAGCAAUCUGAGUGNGUAGACGAAGUAGAUAAGUAUACCACCGUACGGGUAGGUACGGUUCGCGAAGAAGUAGAAACGUUAAAAGGUAAAGUUAACGGUACGUAGUAGAGAGACGACGACGACGACGACGGAGGAGGAGG
rnacentral:rRNA from 1 species